UUGAACGCUGGCGGCAUGCCUUACACAUGCAAGUCGAACGGCAGCACGGGGGCAACCCUGGUGGCGAGUGGCGAACGGGUGAGUAAUACAUUGGAACGUGCCCGAUCGUGGGGGAUAACGCAGCGAAAGCUGUGCUAAUACCGCAUACGAUCUACGGAUGAAAGCAGGGGACCGCAAGGCCUUGCGCGGACGGAGCGGCCGAUGGCAGAUUAGGUAGUUGGUGGGAUAAAAGCUUACCAAGCCGACGAUCUGUAGCGGGUCUGAGAGGACGACCAGCCACACUGGGACUGAGACACGGCCCAGACUCCUACGGGAGGCAGCAGUGGGGAAUUUUGGACAAUGGGGGAAACCCUGAUCCAGCCAUGCCGCGUGCAGGAUGAAGGCCUUCGGGUUGUAAAGCUCUUUCAGACGGAAAGAAAUCGGGCGCGUGAAUAGCGUGCCUGGAUGACGGUACUGUCAGAAGAAGCACCGGCUAACUACGU
rnacentral:rRNA from 1 species